GCCCCGAAUCGUGAUUUUACAUGAGACAUCUUUGAUGACUUAUUGCUGAGCUGUGAAUUUCACAACAGGAGUCAUCAAUUUAAUGGCGCUGACGUUCAAAGUCAUAAAAGCAGCACUAACCCAGACAGCAGCAGAUUCAGCUUAUGAUGAAAAGCACAUGAGCAAAGCAACCAACGUUCCCUCGUGUCCUCUCCCUAUCUGGCACUUCAUUAAAGAUGCCUCAAGGUCACUUUGUCCAAACUCAGCAGGACAACUUUCACAUGUCGCAGACGCUCUAACGCGAGCAGACAGCUGUGUUUCUAAUCAAGCUCUAUGACGACCCAUUUCACUUUUACGAGCCAACGUGCCGUUCGUUAAGAUCAUUUCCAUCCAGCCAUGUGUGCCUGAUCGAAUUUGUGAAAACUCUUCGCACCGUAUCGCACACGAUCUUUUAAUAACGGCCAAAUGAGUUCAAACAGCUCUGAUGACUCUAAAUGAAUUAGCCCUUCUAGAAUGAGUAAUAUAAAUGCAUCGGAGGAGGAGGGCGAGCAGCGCUGUGAUGGAGAUAAAGAAGAUGAAGAGAUGCUCCCUUAAGAUUCUGUCUGUCUCCUGUUGGCUUUGAGAAAUCACACUCACCUCCAGUCAACACUUAACAUCAUUAGAGAAUAAUGAAAAGCAAAUUCUGAAUAAAGAUGGUGAUUUGCUUACAAGUGCACUGAUAUCAGUGUUUGCACACCUGAAUGAAGGUCAAUUCUAAUCAAUUAUAAAAGCAGAUAGGUUUACAGGCCAGAUAGUGAGGUCAUCUUUUGUGUUUUAUUUCCAAGAACAUAAUAUGAACAUUUUGACAUUCCAGGAAUA